UCCCUGGCGGUCUGGUGGCUAAGGCUCUGCACUCUCAAUGCAGGGGGCCCAGGUUAGAUCCCUGGUCAGGGAA
rnacentral:tRNA from 1 species